ACACUGACGUCGCGACGCAUAUCAAUAAGCGGAGGAAAAGAAACUAACAAGGAUUCCCUUAGUAACGGCGAGUGAAGCGGGAAGAGCUCAAAUUUGAAAUCUUCAAGGUUCUACCUUGACGAAUUGUAGUUUAAAGAAGUGUUUUCUGUUGAAGUUGGUCAAGAGUUCUUUGGAAUAGGACAUCAUAGAGGGUGAGAAUCCCGUAUUUGACCAUCAUUUCCAGCUGUGUGAUACACUUUCAAAGAGUCGGAUUGUUUGGGAAUGCAGUCCAAAAUGGGUGGUAAAUUUCAUCUAAAGCUAAAUAUUGGCGAGAGACCGAUAGCGAACAAGUACCGUGAGGGAAAGAUGAAAAGAACUUUGAAAAGAGAGUUAAACAGUACGUGAAAUUGUCAAAAGGGAAGCGUUUGACACCAGUGUUGUUUUUCCGAAAAUCAAUUAUAAAUGUUUUGUUUCUGAGGAGUGAUGACUUCAUCGGCUUCCUUCUCUCUUCACGAAACUUUUGUAAUGCACUUUUCGGUUAACAAGUCAACAUCAAUUUCUUUUGUUGUAAAAGAGUAUUCGGAAGGUGGCUUUCUUUUCGGAGAAAGUGUUUAUAGCCCUAUACUUCUACAAUCGGAGAGAUUGAGGUCUGCAGCGUAGAUCCUUCGGGGUUAGAUACACUUGUGCUAAGUUAUAGCUUUUCAUAGACAACUUGUUGACUAUGUUUAGUCUUGUAGCUUACUCGCUUGUGCUAUUUUACCUACGCUUAGGAUGUUGAGUCGUAGAGCACGCAG
rnacentral:rRNA from 1 species